UGUUUGAUGUCUUUGAAGGUCUUGUCUAACCAGCCUUCUUGUCUCCUUAUAAUACUCAAAUAGAUACUAAUGUCUUUUAACUUGCCUCCAUAAAGAUCUUCUCUAAAAGCCACAUCUUCAUCUCUUGUGCUUCUUCUAUUAGCGGCUAGCAUAUAGCCAUAGUCUACAUCUUCAUCAUUUUUAUCAAUCUCUUGUGUUUCCAUUUCUUCUUUACAAAUAUAUUUGGCUCUGAAUAGCAUAUCUGCCAUAGAAUUCUUCUUACCAAAAAUGUAUACAAAUAUAAGAUUGAGUGAUCUAAUACAAGUUAUCCACUUCAACAUAGCAAUAUCAGGAAUAGAAUAAUUUGUAAUUAUAUCCAAUAAUGAUAAGCAAUUAGUGUCUAGUACCACAUUAGUUCCAAUUAAGUAAUUUUUUUCUACUUUCAUAGCUUUAAGUGCUUCCAAAAUCUCUCUCUUUAUUUGUAGAUAUAUUCUCUAUUUAUUCUUGAAAACUCUUAUUCUAAAUCUAAUAGCAAAUCUCUUACCUUCUACAUCAUCUCGACCAAUAGUCUAUCCAAUAGCAUGAGGACUUGUAUCAAUAGUAACAACAACUAGUCUGUCACAAUCAUAGUCAACUUGCCUCAAGACUAGUGGCGACUUUAAAAUCUCUUUUAGACCAUUCAUGGCUAGUCCUUGUUUUUUUUCUAUCUAAAUUAAAUUCCUUUUUUUCAAGAAAUAGUAUAAUGGCCCAAAUAUAUGAGCAAAGUGAGGAAUUCAAAUUUGAUAGAAGUUACAAGCUUUUAAAAACCUCCUUACUUUAGUGAUGCUACUACAUACUUUCAUCCUAGCAAUAGCAUCAAUCUUUUCAAGAUUAAAUUUUUUGCCAUACCUUCUAUAUAAGUGUCUAACCAUCACAAUCUCAUCAAAUCCAAAUUUGGACCUAUUAAUGGACAAGGUUAAAUCCCUCUUCUUCAGGCCUCUUCAAAAUCUCUUCCACAUCUUCAAUAUAAUCCUUCACAAAUCUUCUACAUCUAUCAAUAUUCAACAUCAAGUCUCUAGCCUCUUUUUUGUAAUUCUUCAUAGGUAUAUCAUCUAAAAAAAGAAUAGUCUUUUAAAGCAUAAAAUUCCUUAAGAUUUGGUUCAUAAAAUUUUUCAUAUGAGCUACUGAUUUAGUGGCACCUUGAGGCAAAGUGUACAUCCUCAUAAGUCCCAAUGGAGUCUUUAUGGUUAUCAAAUCUCUACUUUUUGAUGCAAGCUGAAACUAAUUAUAACCAAAAAAAUAAAAAUCUCCAAUAGAAUAAAUGACAUGUCUUGCAAAAGCCUCAGCAACUUCAUCUACAAUCGAUCUUCAUCUUUUAUUUAUGAUUGAAACUUUGUUAGUUAGUUGUAUGUCUUGAAUGAAUCUCAAAGCUCUAGACUUCUUAGGUACUGUGAACCAUCGAUUAGAAUAUGGAGCUAUAGAUGGUUCAAGUAUUUUUAUUUGCAUCUUUUCUUUCAAUAGACUCACCAACUUAGGUAGUAAGGCUUUUAGCACAACAAUUGGCUUCAAAUCUCAAGGCCCAAGUGGAAUAGUAAAAAUGACAUUAGCUCAAUAAUCUUUAGAUUAAUACAUCCAAUCUCAUCUAAUAAAGAAGAAAAAGCCUUACCAUGCUUGGAGAUUAUUUUUUUAAAUGUUUUUUUUUUCAAGUUCUUUCAAGAACUCACUCUUUGUAAUCUUUAAUUUAGCCAAUGUCUCUUCUAUGAAAUUGUAUCCAAUCUUUCUUAUUUCUCUCAAUCUAGGCUCAUUUUUAUCCUUCUUGAUAUAAUCUUUAGAGUCCAGUGGUAGUUGUAUUGCUAUUGGCCUCACCUUCUUUGCCACAGUCUUAUACUUGAUAUUCAGCAUUGCCUCAAUCUUCAAGCUAUAACUCUCAAUCAACUUCUCAUUAGUAGCUAUCUUCAAUAUCUCUUCAUACAAACUGUUUAAAUAAAUCUCCACCAUCAUAUCAAUAAAUAUAAUAUCUUCUCCUUGCAAAGUUUUAAAAACUUGUAAAACAUCAUUUAAAUUCUUUUUUCUUUAAUAAUUUCAGAAAUAGACUCAUCAUAGAGAAUCACAUCAAUUCUUUUUAAUUUUUUUUUAUCUUUUUAAUUCAUCUUCUAUAUUUAAAAUCGGAAUUUUUAAUCUUUUGAAAACUUAUACAUCCCUCUUCUAUCAAACUCCAAACUUUACAAUCACUUCUCUAUACAUUAGGGCAUAUUUAGUAGAUGAUUUCAUAGCAUUUGUGGUACUUCAUGCUCUAUAUGUACAAUCUAAAAAUCCAAAAAAUUAUCAUAUUCAUAAUCCAUGGAAAUUUUUCUAAGUUGAUCUCUAUGCCUCUCAUGAUUUGGCUUUAUUCUAAGAAAUUCGACAGACCAUUUGCAAUCAUAGCUAUGAAUUCUUGCUUAGUCUUAGCGAUCAUCCAAUACCUUGGUUUCCAUUGUUGUUGCAGUGAUAUAUGGCUGCCUCAAAAUAAUAAGAUAAUUUCCUUGAUUUUAUACAAAGAAUUUUUUCUCUACUUUCACAUCACCAAUUUUGAUACCUACUACUGGACAUAUUCCAUAAAGGCUACUUCUUUCAUCAUUGGUAGCUCUCAAUACCCACCUAUGAUUGGUGUCAAUUGGCCACUUAUCUUUUUCAUAAAUCUUUCUAAAUAAGAUGUUCAUCUAAGAGCCAUGAUUCACCUAGGAUUGGCUCUUUAAAGUCUCCAAUCUUUAUAUAUAUCUCCAUAGUAGCUCUUGCCAACAUGGAUGAAUAUAAGCUGUAAAAGCUUCACUAUCAUUUUUCUAUAGUUUAUUAACCUGACACUAAGACAUCUUAGCUCAUAUUAUAAUUCCUUCUUUUUGGUUCUUGCUAGCAUUAACUUCCACCUUCACGUUAGCCACUCUAUUAUAUAAAAAAAAUUAUAAUACUUCAAUCUCCAUCUCAUUAUACAAAUCUUCCUCCAUAAUUUCAACUUUUAUUUUCACAAUCUUAUCAUAAAUAAUUCCAUACCAUUUGCUUUGGUCACUAUUGCCUAUAUUAUCACAUUUCAAGGCAAAAAAUUGUCCAAUCUUCUUUUCUUCUUUCUUAGUCAUUAGAAUAUUCAAUACUCUUACCAUUAUUAUUUCAAUUGAUAUUUGCCUCUUUUUCUUAAUAAUAUCAAUUAUGUAUUCAUGAAAACCAUUUUUGGCAAUAUCAAGAGCUUCCUUCAAAGUAAACUCAAUCUUCACAUCCAAAAUCUUCUUGUCUAAGAUACUCUUUAUGUUAACUGAGGAUUUAAUAUCAAAUUGAAGUUUAUAGGUUGGUGCCUUAUCUUUAGUAUUGUUUUUUUUUCUCCUUAUCAUUGCUGGUAUUUAUUCUUUCUUUUCACUUUUUUUUAAGAGAGGAACUUCAACUCCUAGAUAUAAAACAAAAGGCCUUGCCUCUUGCUUCUCUUGUGUGUUACUUACAAGACCUUUUUUUGGAGUAAUGUUUCUAACAUUUGGAGCCUUUUUUUUUAUUAAUUGGCUCUCCUACCUCCUCUUCUUUAUGAAUUUUGCCUCUCUUAAUGUCUAAUGAUGCAUCAUAGGAUUUUUUCUCUCCAUGCUCACUCACCAAAAUAUGCCUUAAUGGUGGUUGCAUCAAUUAGAUCAUCCCAUCCAAUUAGUCUUCUAAUAACUUGAGCUCCCCUCACCAUUACUUUUUUAGAUACAUGUGUAGAAGUUUCCACCUUAAUGGUAUAAGUCUCUACUUCUUUACUAAGUGAACAAUUGUUUUUUUCCAAUCUAUCUUCUAUCAAUUUUUUUAUAAUUCAUCUCCCAAAAUUACUCUCUAAAGGUUCAUUUAUUAUAACAUCUUUAAUUUUACCUUCUUUGAAGGUAAUAACGCCAUUUUUUAUGGCAUUUGUAUAUAAUCCACAAUCACCACAUUUGUGGUUUGCAUCAUCACACCAAAUGCCUUUCAUCUCAAAUUCCUUUGAUCCUUCAAUUGGUCAUGAAGUGCAUGAUCUUGUGUCUUUCUAUAAAGCAAUCAUUUCUAUCUUCAAUUCCUUCAUGUUCCUCAUCAAUUCAUCAAAGAUUUCUUCAUUUACAUUCUUAUUUUUUAAAAAGCUUGAUGGAGUAAGAGUAGGCAAAGUUCUUAUUGCAGCUUUUAUAUCUUUUAUUGGUGAUUCUCAAAUGCUUCUUUUGAAGUCACCAAAAUCCUUGUUAUCAUUGUAGAUAGCAUAUUAAAUGCCUAUUAGGCAUGGCCAUUGACCAAUUGGAAUAAAGAUCUUUACUUUUAUUCUUCAUCCAUCUACACCUUCCUUUCAUCCCUCUACAUAAGCUUUUUAGAGGUUUUAAUCUUCAUCUUUGAGUUCCAAUAUUUUUCUUAAAUUUUAUACUAAAUAUUUGAAUCCUAUAUAUUACAAACACUAUAAUUAAUAUAAGUAAUCUUUAAAAUAAAUUUUCUUACAUCAACUCUCUUUAAAUUAAUCUAUUAAUUACUUUAAAGUAUAUCAACACUUAAAAAUAUAUUAUUUAUUUUAAUAAAUUUUUAUAUACUAUAAAUAAUUAUAAUAUCACAUUGAGGCUCCUAUCUUAUUUGUGAAAGUAAAAGAUAAUUCUUUAUAGAUGUGUAUGGUCUAUAAAGAAUUUAAUAAGAUCACUAUCAAGAAUAGAUAUCCACUAUCUUUGAUUUUAAGAUGUUUUGAUCAAGUCAAUUAAGAAAGAUUUAUAUAAAAAUAAAUCUACAAGGAGCAUACAAUCUAGUACACAUUAAAAAUAAAUAAAUAAAUAAAUAAAUAACUACAUUUUGAACUAGGUAUGGAUAUUUUGAAUAUGAUUUCAUACUUUUUCGACUAAUAAAUAUACUAGUUACUUUCCAACAUGUAAUGAAUGAUGUAUUUUUCGAAUUUCUUUAUGAUUUUGUGAUUUAUUAUUUAGAUGAUAAUUUAAUCUACUUUAAUAAUAUAAAAGAAUAUAAAAUUCAUAUUUGUCAUAUAUUAUAAAAGUUGAAAGAUGUAAGAUUAUAUGCCAAGAUGAAAAAGUGUAUAUUUCACAUUGCUCAAAAUUUACUUCUUAGAAUACAUCAUUUCAGAUAAUGGUCUUAUGAUGGAUGUUAAAAAAGUUCAAACUAUUAUAGAUUAAAAGAUUUUAAAAACAGCUAAAGAUGUGCAAUGUUUUUUUAAAAUCUGUCAAUUAUUAUCGGAUCUUCAUCUAAAACUUUUUUCAAAUUACAAUCCUACUUAUACAUUUAACUUAUAAAAGUAAAUUCAAGUAGAUCAAAGAAACUGAAGCAUCUUUUAAAGCUUUGAAGAUAGCUUUUAUUUUUGUACCAAUCUAACAUUGUUUUGAUUUUUUAAGAUAUUUUUUUAUAAAAAUAAAUGCAUCAAACUUUGCUUUGAGUGCCAUUUUAUCAUAAAUGGAAGCAAAUAAUAAGCUCUAUUUAAUAGCUUUUCAUUCUAAAAUUUUUUCAAUAUCUAAGAUUAAUUAUAAGAUCUAUAAUUGUCAAGGACAAGAACUCGAUGAAAGCUAAAGACUAAGUGAGACUUUUCUCAAAAAGAAAUAGGACAAAAUAGAAAUAUGUAUAUUAAGAAAGAAACUGGAAUGGCUAUUGCCAAAAUACAAGAAAACUAGAGACCCUUGAAACUAGACUAGAAGCAAGAAAGGAGUUGACAAGAGUGAAGAGGGCUUCACUCUUGCCUCUAUAUAUACUAUCUAACUAGAAGCCACGUGGCGAUGUUCUAUAAGACCUCCAAUAUAUGUUGACUUUCUAGGCCACAUGCCUUUGCUUGCAAGGCAAGUUUUCUAUGGAUGGACCACGUAGUUAGCUUGUUCUUUAAGUUUCCAACAUGUGUGGCACAUGGCUAACUUGUUGACCAAGUUUCUAACCUAAAAGUCAACUAUAGACUCCUAUAAAGUCAAAGCAGCGUCUAUGAAGCUUCUAAGAAGCUUCUCUAGAAGAUAUUACACAAUUAACCUACUUUUAUCUACUUUUACAUACUUUUAUCUAUUCAUAUAGGUAAUUAUAUGUAUGUCCGUGACAUUACCCCCCCUUCUAGGGACGAGUUCCACGAGGAGCGAUGAUUAUAUAUUGAGAAAAUCUAAUAUGCGGCGAAUUAUAUUUGCUACAUACUCUGAUCUUUGUUCUCUUCGAAGAUAGUUGAUGGGUCCUCUUAGCCAUCGAUAGUGUCCCAUUCCAGGGCGAGAAGACCACCCUGUUAUUUGAUCACUGUUGAGGCCUUCAUAACUUCCUUCAAAUAAUACAUUUGAAACACCAUUAGGAGUCGUUCCUAUCUCCAAUAAUAUCACCAAACAUCGAGAAUCUCUUCCAAGGUCGUGAUACCAAACGCGUUGUAUCUCACCAUCUAUUCGAGGAAGAACAUGUCGUUCUUGAGGGUCUUCAUCUCGGUUGCGUCGUCUUGAAGGUUGUUACAAUCGCAAUGUCUCAUCCGGUAAGUCAGCAAACGAAGGUUCUUGAGUUGAAUCCGCUGGUUGUUGGCUCUCCAUCUAAUUAGUGUCACAAAAUGCAAAGAAGUUACAAACAAGGAUAGGAAAUUGAAUGUUAUCUUGCCUCAAUCUUGUCUCUUUUAUAAGAGAGGUUUUCAUCUUGGUUUUGAUGGAUGUCAUUGAUGAAAAACUUUGACUUUAGCUGAUGCAUUUGCUAGAUUCCUGGAUGGCUCCCAUGUGCGCUCACUAAUAUCAUAUCCGCACCAAUGAACAAGAUAUUCCAGCUUAUUUCGGCGCCGCCUUGAGUCUAAUAUCUCUUCCACCUCAAAUUCUUCAUUAUUAUCUACUUCUAUAGGAGGCGGUGGCAUUUGUCUUCUUCCUUGUAUAUCCACUGUCUUAUAUGGUUCAAGGAGAGACACUUGGAAUACAGGAUGGAUCUUCAUUGACUCCGGUAGAUGUAACCGAUAUGCAACUGGGUUGAUCUGUUCAGAAACAGAAAAGGGGCCAAGCCUACGAUAGUCCAAUUUGUCACAAGGUCGAGUGGUCUUGAUAUUGCGACGAAGUAGCCAUACCUUAUCACCCACGUUGAGUUGUGGUUGCUCUUUACGAUAUACAUCUGCAUUUAUCUUUUGUCGUUCUUGAGCUUUCUUCAACUGCGCCUUCAUUAUUGCAUGUAACUCUGACAACCGAUUUGCCAUAUCUUCUGCUGCAGGAUUAUCAACUUUUGAAAAAUCAAAAGUAUCAAGUCGUGGAUGAUAGCCAUAAUUGGCAAAGAAAGGUGUUUGUUGCGUGGAGGAAUGUACCGUAUUAUUAUAAGCAAACUCUGCCAAUGGCAGAAGGUUUGUCCAAUCAUCUUGUUGGUAGUUGAUGGUACACCUUAAAUAAUGUUCCAAGACUUGGUUUACGUGCUCUGUUUGUCCAUCAGUUUGAGGAUGGAAAGCUGAAGAUAGCUUUAUGUCCACUUUUAAAAUCUUGAAAAGAGUCCUCCAGAAUCUCAACACAAAUUGAGUUCCCCUAUCCGAUAUGAUAUCUUUAGGUAAUCCAUGAUAGCGAUAGAUAUUAUCAAUGAAAAGCUUAGCUGUUUCUUCACCUGUGAUAGAUUUUGUACAUGGCAUAAAAUGUGCCAUCUUGGUGAAACGAUCUACUAUCACAAAUAUAGAAUCAUAAGAUCUUGAGUUUGGAAGAUCUGUGAUGAAAUCCAUAGAAACAGAAGACCAUGGUUGUUCUGGUAUAGGUAAUGGCUGAAGAAGUCCGUAAGGUCGAUGUCGAGGAAUUUUUGAUCUUGAACAAAUAUCACAUGAUUGUACAAAGUCUUUGACUGACUUCCACAUUUGUGGCUACCAAAAAUCUCUUGAUAUGAGUUCCAGAGUCUUAUUAUAUCCAAAGUGCCCUGCUGCUGGAAAGUCAUGACGUGCUUGAAGAACACGCAAACGUACUUUUCCUUCUGGAACAUAUAGGCGUCCUUCAAAAUAUAAUAGAUUAUUCUUGAACUCGAACUUAGAAGAAUCAUGAGACUUGGAAGAAUUAUUCUCGAUAUCAUGAACAAGAGGGUCUGAGGACAUACUGGACUGGAUUUGCUUGAGAAAAGUUGAAUCAACAGUCAAUGUUGAUUUCACUGCUCGGAGAUGAAAUUGCUCCGGUUUCAAGAGGACCGUUCUUUGUUGCUCAAAAGCUGCAUCUCCUUCUUUUGGUGCAAAAUAAGAACGUCUAGACAGGGCAUCGGACAAACCUUGUUGUUUUCCUGGCCGAUAAGUGAUAAUGAAGUCGAAUCUUGACAAAGACAUACUCCAACGAGCUUGACGACGAUUCAACACGCGUGUUGACAUGAAAUACUCGAGGUUCUUGUGAUCUGUAUACACAGUGACUGGACUAGAAGCACCUUCUAGAUAAUGACGCCAUUCUUGAAAAGAAUCCACGAUUGCAAGAAGUUCUUUAUCGUGGAUCUCAUAAUUGAUCUCGGCUGCUGAGAAUUUUCUUGAAUGAAAAGCUAUCGGAUGAAGUUUGUCAUCUGUUCCCAUUUGUGAUAAAACUGCACCCAAGGCAAAAUCCGAUGCGUCUGUUUCCAUAAAAAAUACCUUGGAAAAGUCAACACGAUAUAAGACUGGUGCAGAGACAAACGAUGUCUUCAAGGCUUCAAAUGCUGCUUCCGCUUCUUGAUUCCAUUGGAAUUUAUCUUUACUAGUCAAGCGUGUAAGUGGAGCUGCAACUCGUGAGAAGUCUUUGACGAAGAUCCGAUAGUAAUUGGCAAAUCCCAAGAAACAUUGGACAUCUCUUACAGUCUUUGGAAUCUUCCAAUCCAUGAUUGUUUGGACUUUCUUAGAAUCCAUCAUAAGACCAUCAUUUGAAAUGAUGUAUCCUAAAAAGUCAACUUGAGUAGUGUGAAAUACACACUUUUCCAUCUUGGCGUACAAUCCUCCAUCUCUGAGUUUUUGUAAUACUUGACGAACAUGUAUUUCAUGUUCUUCAACAUUCUUAGAAUAAAUCAGGAUAUCGUCUAGGUAGCAGACGACAAAAUUGUCUAAGAAUUCACGAAAUACAUCAUUCAUGAGAUGUUGAAAAGCAGCUGGUGCAUUCGUGAGUCCAAAAGGCAUGACAUUAUAUUCGAAAUGUCCAUACCUGGUUCGAAACGCAGUCUUCCAUUCAUCUCCUUCUUUGAUCUGUACUAGAUUAUAUGCUCCUCUUAGAUCUAUUUUUGUAUAGAUCUUAGCUUGAUUCAACUGGUCAAGGAGUCCUGAUAUCAAAGAUAAUGGAUACCUGUUCUUGAUUGUGAUCUUGUUGAGUCCUCGAUAAUCAACACACAUUCGUAAAGAUCCAUCUUUUUUCUUUACGAAUAAAAUUGGAGCUCCUGCUGGAGAUUUUGAAUGGCGUAUGAAAUUCUUCGCUAAAUUCUCGUCAAUAUAUGUCUUGAGUUCAGCCAACUCAUCUUGCAAUAAACUGUAAAUUGGUCCAAAUGGUGGCUGAGUUCCUUCCUUGAGAUCGAUUGAACAAUCGUAUGGGCGAUGCUCAGGAAGAAUAUCUGCAUUCUUUUUCUCAAAAACGUCUUGAUAAUCCUGAUAUUGACUUGGAAUGCCACUUGAAGUCUUUACGCUUUCAGAAAUAGGUGCAGCAUAAAUAGCAAAAGUUGAUCCUUCUUUUGCUGCGUGUAUAAAUGCUUUUGCACCUAUAAGUGCGAGUUUUACUAUACUAGACUCAUGGUUUUUUACUUGAUUAAUAGAACUGUUACUAAUGCUCUGAGGAAAAUCAAGUUUACGAGAAAUCCAAUCUAUUCGAGGAUUAUACUUUUCUAACCAUGAUAAGCCUAAAAUUACUGGAUUAGAGGGAGAUCUAAUUAUAUUAAAAAUUACGCAACUACUAUGACCAUUUAUUACUACAUCUACAGGAAGUGUUUCGUGAGUUACAUCUCCAGAAGACAACGGACGACCAUCUAUGGCUUCUACGUGUACAGGUUUAGUUUUUUGUAUUAAUGAUAUUCUAUGACAUCUAGCAAAUUCUUCAUCUAAAAAACAAGAUGAGGCUCCUGAUCUACCAAGGCAGAGGCUUUGUAAUUAUUAGGUCCUAAACGCACAUCUAUUAUAAAACAAGGAGAUGGUUCUGAGGAGAGGAUAGGACCUUCAUUAGAAGUUGUACAAGAUUCCAGCCGCACGGUCCCUAUUGUAGCUGGACGUACUCGUUUUCCGACAUAUUGUCUUCUUUGACAGCCGUACUCCUCAUUUUGUAGUUACGUCGCUUCUUUGGACAAUGUUGAGCAGUGUGCUUAGAUUCUCCACAAUAUAAGCACAAUCCUUCUUGUCGACGACGAGACUUUUCUUGCUCAGUAAGAGGUUUGAAACGUACCGCAUCAAUUUGCAUAUCCUCUACUUCUGAAGGUAUGUGUUGAGGAGACGUCGGUGUUGCCAUUGAAUUGUAGUAACGUUGAGGCCCACUUGUGCGACUCUCGGAUCGAAAUUCAAAAAGUCGAUUGUCGCACUUCACAGCAAAGUCAAUUGCUUGACUCAAUGUUUGAGGAUCAGGUAAAUUAAGCAUCAAUUUCUUUACCUCAUAUUGUAAUCCGUAGAGAAAUUGACUCACAAGUGCGGCAUCAUCCCACUUGAUAUCAGUUGCAAGUUGUCGAAAUUGCGAAGCAUAUAAUGUUACUGAUCGAUUGCCUUGUCGCAAAAUACGGAUCUUGUUGGUUGCAACACGAAUUGCAUCAUGUUCUCCAAACAUGGAUCGAAACUCCGCCAAAAAAGCCUCCAGAUUAUCCAAUAUUGGAUCUCGUCGUUCAAGAAAAGAUGAAAACCAUGACAAUGCUGAACCUGAAAGAAGUGUACCAAUGAAUCUUACUUGUGACCCUGGAGUUGGAUAGCUCUGGGGUUGAAGUUCCAUCACUAGUUGGACCUGAUUGAUGAAUCCUCGAAACUUGGAUCUGGUACCAUCAAACUUCUCGGGCAAGGCAACUCUCGGUUCUCUAACACUCGAAGGGUGUUCCAUUCUGGGAGAAGGGACAUGGUUUGGUGCAGAUGUUGAAGCAGCCCCAAUCAUCUCUAUAUCUUCACUUCCUACCAUUCUUGUUGCUCCUUGUGGUAGUAAAUUGAGUUGAUGCAUCGCAAGAAUUAACUCCCUCAAUUGUUCUUGCAUCUGUGCCAUUGCACUCUUCAUUUCAACAAGCUCUGCCAUAGUAGCACUUAGAAAAGAGAAGAUGUCUAAUAACGCUCAAAACAAAUAGAAGAGAGGAAUUGAUAACAAAGAAAAUACUAAGAACAAUAUCAGUUUAAAAGAGGGUAAUCCGCAACUUCUAAUGCGCUUAUGUCUUAUCAAGAAAAAGGGGUAAUCCACUCUUAAUCAAGAAAAGACAAAGCUCUGAUAUUGUAAGUGUACUCUUGUCAAUCUGUCAAGGACAAGAACUCGAUGAAAGCUAAAGACUAAGUGAGACUUUUCUCAAAAAGAAAUAGGACAAAAUAGAAAUAUGUAUAUUAAGAAAGAAACUGGAAUGGCUAUUGCCAAAAUACAAGAAAACUAGAGACCCUUGAAACUAGACUAGAAGCAAGAAAGGAGUUGACAAGAGUGAAGAGGGCUUCACUCUUGCCUCUAUAUAUACUAUCUAACUAGAAGCCACGUGGCGAUGUUCUAUAAGACCUCCAAUAUAUGUUGACUUUCUAGGCCACAUGCCUUUGCUUGCAAGGCAAGUUUUCUAUGGAUGGACCACGUAGUUAGCUUGUUCUUUAAGCUUCCAACAUGUGUGGCACAUGGCUAACUUAUUGACCAAGUUUCUAACCUAAAAGUCAACUAUAGACUCCUAUAAAGUCAAAGCAGCGUCUAUGAAGCUUCUAAGAAGCUUCUCUAGAAGAUAUUACACAAUUAACCUACUUUUAUCUACUUUUACAUACUUUUAUCUAUUCAUAUAGGUAAUUAUAUGUAUGUCCGUGACAAUAAUAAAGAACUUCAUUCCAAAAGGUAAAACACAAUUACAUAUUCUUCAAUUUUGUCAUGACUUUUCAACAAUUGAAUAUUUUAGAUACAAAAAGACUUUAGAACUAAUAUCUAGAGAUUUCUAGUGGCUUCAAAUGUGGAAGGCAGUCAAAGACUUUGUACAAUCAUGUAAUAUUUGUUCAACAUCCAAAAUUCCUUACCAUUGAUCUUAUGAACUUUUUCAGCCCUUAUCUAAUCCAAAACAACUAUAGUCAUUUAUAUCUAUGGAUUUCAUCACGGAUCUUCUUAAUUCAAGAUCAUAUGAUGUUAUGUUUGUAAUAAUAGAUCAUUUUAUUAAAAUGGCAUAUUUAAUAUUAUAUAUAAAAUUUAUCAUACGUAAAGAAAUAAUUAAGUUUUUUUCAAUAACAUAUAUUGCUAUCAUAGAUUAUCUAAAAAUAUUAUAUUAAAUAAGAAAAAUCAUUUUUUAUCAAGAUUUUUAAAAAGAAUUUUUAAAAUCUUAAAGAUAGAUAUAAAGCUCUCUUUGGCUUUUCAACUUCAAACUAAUAGGCAAAUAGAAGAGCUAAAUCAAGUUUUAGAGUAGUAUUUGAAGUAUUCCAUCAAUUAUCAUCAAGAUGAUUCGAAAACUCUUUUUCUAUUGGAAGAAUUUACGUACAAUAAUUUAAUACAUUUUUCUACUCAAUAAAUAUCUUUCUUUGUUAAUUAUGGUUAUUAUCUAUAACUUCAUACUUUUGAAUUUUUAAAAGUUAAUAAUCUUUUAACAAAAUAUUUGACAAAUUAUUUAUUACAUAUAUCUAUAAUAAUUAAGGUGCAAUAAAAGAAAACUUAAGAACAAUAAAAGUUUAAUGUGGAUGCCUAUUGCAAGGAACAACUACAAUUUAAUGUGAGUGACAAGGUAUGAUUACUUUGUCACAAUAUCAAAACUAUUUGUCUUUGUGAUAAAUUGGAAUAUCUUAAGCUUAGAUAUUUAUUUAUUUAUAAAUAAAUAAAUAUUAUUUCUUAUCAAUCAUAUUUAUUUGAGUCUAUGAAGAUCCAUCAUGUAUUCCACAUGUCUCUUUUUGAACCAUAUAAGACAAUAAAUAUCUCAAGAAAAAGAUAAAUACCACGUCUUUUUAUAGAAAUGGAUAAUAAACAAGACUUUGAGAUAGAAGAAGUCUUAGAUUCAAUGUGGCACCAAAUUAGAUUAAAACAUCUUAUUUUUUGUUUUGGAUAUGAUAUUAGUGAAUGCUCAUGGAAGCCAAUAAAAAAUCUUGUAAAUGUAGCAAAGAAGAUUGAAGCUUUUUAUUGAUAACAUCCAUCAAAAUCAAGAUAAAAAAUAACAAAUCUUUGCUAUAAAAGAAAUAAGAUCCAAGAAAGAUAACAUUUUAUCUUCUACUUUUAUUUGUAACUUUUGUAUAUUUGUAAUGUAAAAAAUAUAGUGAACUAACAAUUAAAUAAUUCAACUCAAGAACUAUCACUUGUUGACUUAUCGGAACAAAUAUUGCAAUAGUCACAAUGUUGAAGAUGAAAUAAUAAAAAAAAAAAAAAAAAAAAAAAAAAAAUCCUUAAGAAUAAUAUGUCCUUCCUCAAAUAGAUGGUAAGAUACAAUGUAUUUGAUAUCACAACCUUGGAAGAAUCUUCCAAUAUUUGGUGAUUUUAUUAGAGUUAAAAACAAUUUUUAAUGAUAUUUUAAAUAUUUUAUUUGAAUAGAAUUAUAAAGGUAUCAACAGUGAUCAAAUAAUAAGGUGGUCUUUUUAGCUUGUUAUGAGAUACUAUCAAUGGUUGAGAGGACCUAUCAAUCAUUUUCAAAGAGAACAAAGAUUAGACUAUGUAGCAAAUACAAUUUACCGUAUUUUAGAUUUUUUUAACAUAUGAUGACUGCUUUUCAUUGAACCUGUCUUUAAAAAAAAAUAAUGUCAUGGAUAUACAUAUUUAUUCUAAUAUUUAUCCAUUUGAUUAAAUAGAAGUAUUUAAAAAUAAAUUUAUUUUAUAAUAUUUUUUACAAAAACUUUCUAAAAGCUUUAUUGAUGCUGCUUUGACUUUAUGUGUAUUUAUAAUUAAUUAGUAGAUUAGAAACUUGCUCAACAAGUUAAUCAUAUAUUGAUAACUUGCAAAAUAAGUUAAUUAUGUGGCGCUCAUAUAAAAAACUUCCAUUUCAAGUUAAGAUACAUCUCUAGCAAAGUCAACACAUUUUGGAGGUCUUAUAGAACAUUGCCACAUAGCUCUUAAUUAGAUAGUAUAUAUAGAAAUAAGAGUGAAGCCUUCUUCAUUCUUGUCAAUAUAUUUUUAUUCUUUAGUCUUAUUUCAAGACUUUUUAAUCUUCUUGUUUUUAGCAAAAACCAUUCUAGUUUAAUAUAUGAUUACCUUUAAAAGACUUUUUAGUCUUUUUAAGUGAUAUAAGAAUAUAUCAAAGUUUCAUUUCAUUAAUAUUCAUGUCUUUGACAAAAAAUGGAUAAUUUGUAAAAAAAUAUUUAUAAAUUCAAAGAUAUUUGUUGAUCCAACUAAAAUGAAAAUUAAUAACAAAAAUAUUAAUUUUAUUUUCAUAUAUAUAUAUAUAUAUAUAUAUAUAUAUUUCAGUAUCUUUUUUUAAAAAAAUUAUAUUUAAUAUUACACAAUAUUUUUUAAAAUAAUAAAUUUUAUUUUAAAAUAUCUAACAUAUUUUCUAAUUAUAUGAUAAAAAUAAAUCUAAUAAAAAUAUAUUUAAUAACUUUUAAUCUAUAAUAGAUUUAAAUAAUAUGAUCUUUUUAUAUUAUUAUAAUCAAACCUAAGACAUUAUCUCUUAAAAUUUUAAAAUCAAAAUACUUGAUAUUGGUUUAAUAUUUCUUUAUUAACAUGGUUCAAUCAUAUCAAUAUAUAUUUUUUUUGAAAAUUAAAUAUUAAUUUUUUAUGCUUCUUGAUUAUUUUAAAAACUUAACUUAAAGAAAUAAAUUACUUCAAUGUAUUUAAUAGACAAUUACAUAUAACCAAUAAACAAAUUAUAUUUAUAUGCAUUUUAAUUCUACUCUGGCUUCUAAAUAAUAUCAUUUUUUGAAUCAAAACUUCUUUAAAGCUUGUUUCAUGAAUUUUCCUUUUAGCUUCAAAUACUUAAGAUGUCUAAAGAAUAUAUAUGAUUCUUCAAUAUUUUCUAAAUAAUAAAAUCAACUAAAUAUCUAUCUUAUUAAAAAAAAUAAAAAAAUAUUAUAUUUAAUUUAAAAGAAUAUAUUUUAUAAUUUUUAUUUUUGUUUCAAUAUUUUAUAUUCUCUUUUACAAAAUAAUCAUUGAUUAUUAUUUAUUUUUAUUUUUAUUCCAAUUUAUUCCUUCAUAUACUUGAUGAUGUUUGAUAUUUUUUAUUUUUAUUAUUAAUCAAUCUAUCUUGUCAAUUUUGUACUUAUUUCAUUAAUAAAACAAAGAUUCAUUAUACCAACUUAAUUAAUAAUUAAGUUUAUUAAUAUUCUAAUUAAUAUUUUAAUAUUAUAAUAUAUAAUAAUAUAAAUUAUUAUUUUAAUAUUAUAUUAAAAUUAUAAUUCUUAUUUUAAUAUUAUAUUUAUUAAAUUAUUAAUUAAAUUAUUAAUUAAUUAUUAUAUUAAUUUAUUAUUAAUUUAUUAUAAUAUUAAUUAAUAAUUAUUAUAUUAUAAUUUUCUUCUUUCUAUUAUAUAGGUUUUAUUUAAAAAAAUAUAUUCAAUAAUAUAGUUUAAAUACAAAUAUUUAAAUGCAUUGAUAGUAAGAAAUAUUUUAUCUCACAUAUUCUUAUGUGUGCAUUUUGGUAUCUUACUUGUAUUUUUUUUUGCUUGUAUUCUAAAAUGACAAUUAAACAUUAUACUUUUUUUAUUCAUUUUUCUUUCAAAAAAUACAUCUUUGAUAUCAAAUUGUAUAUUGUGUAACUAAAAUUUUAAAUCUUAGAUAUUGCAUAUCUAAUCCUCAAAGAACUUUAAAAGAAAUUUAUAUUGUUUGGUUAUUUUUUUAGUAAAAAAAUAAAUCUUCAAUUUCAUUUUAGAUUCAUAGCAUUUAAUUGCUCAUGAUAAUUUUUUUGUAGAAAAAAUAAUUAUGCAUGCAUAGAAAAAUAUAUUGUCAAUUGUAGAUACUUGCUUAUUUCCAAAGUAAUCAAAAGAUGUGAGAUUAUCUAAAUCAUUUGGAAAUGAAGUCAAACAUGUAAUUUUUUUUAUAAUUAAAUUAAUCAUAGAUGUAAGAUUGUCUAAUUCUUUUGUAGUGAUAUCAAAUUUUUAUACUUAUUUAUAUUUUAAUUAAUUUUUUUUUUUUAAGAUAAUCUAAUUCUUUAAAGAAAGAUGUCAAAUAAAAGCACUGUGAAGGACAAGAACAUGAUAAAGACAAAUAAACGAGUAAGACUUCUCUCAAAGAAAGAUGAAAAAAUAGAAAUAACUUGAUAUGUAUAUUAAGAAAGAAACUGAAAUGGCUAUUGCCAAAAGCCAAGCAAACUAGAGAUCCUUGAAACCAAAUUGGAAGCAAGAAAGGAAUUGAUAAGAGUGAAGAAGGCUUCACUCUUGUCUCUAUAUAUACUAUCUUACUAGGGGCUAUGUGGCAAUGUUCUAUAGGUCCUCUAAUAUGUGUUGACUUUGUAGGAUACAUGCCUUGACUUAUAAGGCAAGUUUUUUCAUGUGUGGGCCACAUAAUUAGCUUGGUCUUCAAGCUAAUUACAUGUGUGGCACAUGGCUAACUUGUUGACCAUGUUUCUAAUCCCAAAAAGUCAAUUAAAGACACAUAUAAAGUCAAAGCAGUGUCUAUGAAUCUUUUAGGAAGUUUUUCUAUAAAAUACUUUAGAAAUAACUUACUUUUAUCUACUUUUAUUUAUUUCUAUCUAUUUAUACAUGUAAUUAUUAGCUUGUAUGUCCGUGACAUUAUCCCCCUUCUAGGGACGGGUUCUACAAGGAGCGGUCAUCAUAUAUUAAAGAAAUCUAUGAUGUGACAAACUAUGUUUGCCACAUAUUCUGAUCUUUGUUCUCUUCGAAGAUGAUUGAUAGAGCCUCUCAACUAUCGGUAGUGUCCUAUACUAAGGCGAGAAGACCAUCCAUUUAUUUGUUCAUUGUUGAGGCCUUCACAACUUCCUUCGAAUAAAACAUUUGGAAGACCAUCAGAAGUUGUUUCUACCUCUAGCAAAAUAACUAAACAUCGGGAGUCCCUUCCAAGGUCGUGAUACCAAACGUGUUGUAUCUCACCAUCUAUUUGAGGAAAUACAUGUCGUUCUUGAAGAUCUUCAUCUCGAUUGCAUAGUCUUGAAGGUUGUGGCAAUCAUAAUAUCUCGUCCGAUAGGUCAGCAAACGAAUGCUCUUGAGUCGAAUCUGCUGGUUGUUGGUUCUCCAUCUCUUGAGCGUCACAACUACAAAGAAACUACAAACAAGGAUUGAAAGUGGAAUGUUAUCUUGUCUAGAUGUUGUUUCUUUUAUAAAGAAGGUUUUUAUCUUGAUUUUGAUAAAUAUCAUCGAUGAAAAGCCUCCACCGCCUUGGUUGCAUUUAUAAAAUUUUUUAUUCGCUUUGUUGUGCGUUCAUUAAUAACAUAUCUGCGCCAAUGGAUAAGAUAUUUCAAUUUAUUUUGGCGUCGCCUUGAAUCUAAGUCUUCUUUUAUUUCAAACUCUUCAUUAUUGUCCACUUCUAUAAGAGGAGGUGGAGCUUGUCUUCUUCUUAGUAUGUCCACUGUCUUGUAUGGUUCAAGAAGAGACACGUGGAAUAUUGGAUGGAUUUUUAUUGACUCCGAUAGGUGUAAAUGAUAUGCAAUUGAAUUGAUUUGUAUAAAAUAGAAAAUGGUCCAAGCCUUCGAUAGUCCAACUUGUCACAAGGACGAGUGGUCUUAAUAUUAUGACAAAGUAACCAUACCUUAUUAUCCAUGUGGAAUGGUAGUUGUUCCUUUCAAUAGACAUCCGCAUUGACCUUUUGUUGUUCUUGAGCUUCUUUAAACUGUGUCUUCAUCGUUGCAUGUAGUUCUAACAAAUGAAUUUCCAAAUCUUUUGUAGUAGGAUUAUCAACUUUUGAAAAUCCAAAAGUAUCAAGUCAUGGAUGAUAACCAUAAUUGGCAAAGAAAGGUGUUUGUUUUGUAGAAGAAUGUACCGUGUUAUUAUAAGCAAACUCUACCAAUGGCAAAAGAGUUGUCUAAUCAUCUUGUUGGUAGUUAAUGGUACAUCUUAAAUACUACUCCAAAAAUUGAUUAACACGCUCAGUUUGUCCAUCAGUUUGAGGAUGGAAUGCCAAAGAUAGUUUUAUAUCCACUUUUAGAAACUUGAAAAUAGUCCACCAAAAUCUUGAUACAAAUUGAUUUCUCCUAUCAGAUAUAAUAUCCUUUGGUAAUCCAUUAUAGUGAUAGAUAUUGUCAAAAAAGAGCUUAGCUAUUUCUUCACCUGUGAUAGAUUUUGUACCUGGUAGAAAAUGUGUCAUCUUGGUAAAACGAUCUACUAUUACGAAUAUAGAGCCAUAAGAACGUGAGAUUGGAAGAUCCGUGAUAAAAUCCAUAGAAAUAGAAAACCAUGGUUGUUCUAAAAUAGAUAAUGGCUUAAGAAGUCCAUAAGGCCGAUGACGAGGAGUUUUUGAUCUUGAGCAAACAUCACAAGAUUGUAUAAAAACUUUGACUGCUUUUUACAUUUGUGACCAUCAAAAGUCUUUGGAUAUAAGUUCCAAAGUUUUAUUGUAGCCAAAAUGUCCUACUACUAGAAAGUCAUGAUGAGCUUGAAGAACACGUAAUUGAGCUUCACAUUUUAGAAUAUAUAGGCAUCCCUUAAAAUAUAGUAGAUUCUUCUUGAAUUCAAACUUGAAAGAAUCAUGAGACUUUGAAGGAUUUUCUUUAAUAUCACGAAUAAGAGGAUUAAAACACAUACUUGACUGAACUUGCUUAAUGAAAGUUGAAUCAACAAUUAGUGUUGAUUUCAUUGCUCAAAAAUGAAGGUGCUCUGGCUUCAAGAGAAUAGUUCAUUGUUUAUCAAAAGCAGCAUCUUCUUCCUUUGGUGCAAGAUAAGAUUAUUUAAAGAGUGCAUUUGACAAACCUUGUUGUUUUCCUGGUUGAUAAAUAAUCUUGAAUUCAAAUCUUGAUAGAGACAUACCCUAACGAGCUUGGCGAUGAUUCAAAACACAUCUUGACAUAAAAUAUUCAAAAUUUUUGUGAUUCGUAUAUACUAUGACUAGGCUAAAAGAACCUUCUAGAUAAUGGCACCAUUCUUGAAACAAAUCCAUGAUUGCAAGAAGUUCUUUGUCAUGGAUCUCGUAGUUGAUCUUGGCUGUUGAAAAUUUUUUGGAAUGAAAAGCUAUUGGGUGAAGGUUAUUAUCUAUUCUCAUUUGAAACAAUACGGCAUCCAAAACAAAUUCUGACGCGUCUGUUUCCAUAAAAAAUGGCUUAGAAAAAUCAACGCAAUACAAGAUUGGUGCAAAAAUAGAAGCUGUCUUCAAAGCUUCAAAUGCUACUUCUGCUUCUUGAUUCCAUUGAAGUUUGUCUUUGCAAGUCAAAUGUGUAAGUGGAACUACAACUUGAGAGAAGUCUUUGAUGAAGAUCCGAUAGUAGUUGGCAAAUCCUAAAAAGCAUUAGACAUCUCUUACCAUUUUUGAAAUCUUCCAAUCCAUAAUAGUUUGUAAUUUCUUAGGAUCCAUCAUAAGUCCAUUAUUUGAAAUAAUGUAUUCUAAGAAGAUGACUUGAGUAGUAUGAAAUAUACACUUUUCUAUCUUGGCAUAGAGUCCUGCAUCUCUUAGUUUUUGCAAUACUUGGUGAAUAUGAAGUUCAUGUUCUUUUUAGUUCUUAGAUUAGAUUAAGAUGUUGUCUAGGUAACAGACAACAAAAUCAUCUAAAAACUCCCGAAAGACAUCAUUCAUUAGAUGUUGGAAAGCUGUUGGUGCAUUUGUAAGUCCAAAAGGCAUGACAUUGUAUUCAAAAUAUCCAUACCUUGUUUGAAACGUAGGCUUCCAUUCAUCUCUUUCUUUGAUGCGUAUCAAAUUAUAUGCUCUUUGUAGAUCUAUUUUUGUAUAGAUCUUAGCUUGAUUCAACUUAUCAAAAAGCCCAGAUAUCAGAGGUAGUCGGUAUCUAUUUUUGAUAUUAUUUUUAUUGAAUACUCGAUAAUCAAUACACAUCUGCAAUGAUCCAUCUUUUUUCUUCACAAAUUAAAUUUGAGCUCUUGCUAGAGAUUUGGAAUGGCGUAUGAAAUUCUUAGCUAGAUUUUCUUCAAUAUACUCUUCGAGUUCAGCCAACUCGUUUUGAGAUAAAUUAUAGAUUGGUCCAAAUGGCAGUUGUGCUCCUUCUUAAAGAUCAAUUAAGUAGUCUUAGGGAUGAUGUUCUGGAAGAGCAUCCGCAUUCUUUUUCUCAAAUACAUCUUCAAAAUCUUGAUAUUGGCUUGGAAUGCUACUUGAAGUCUUUUUGCCAGUAGAAACAAGUGUGGCAUAAAUGACACAAGGUGAUCCUUCUUUUGCAGUAUGCAAGUAAGUACUUGCACCUACAAAUACUGGUUUAAUUAUAUUAGACUUAUGACUUUUUACUUGAUUAACUACACUCUUAGUUAUACUUUCAGAAAAGUCAAGACUACGAGAAGUCCAAUCUAUUUUAGGAUUAUAUUUUUUUAGCCAUGAUAAACCUAAAAUGAUUGGAUUAAAAAGAGAUCUAAUGAUAUUAAAUAGUAUAAAGCUACUAUGACCAUUAGUUGCUAUUUCUAUAGGAAGGGUUGCAUGAAUAAUAUCUCUUGAAGACAACGGAUGACCAUCUAUGACUUCUACAUGAACAGGUUUAGUUUUCUUUACUAAAAAUAUGCUAUAUCUUUUAGCAAAUUUUUCAUCUAAGAAAUAUAUUGAGGCUCCUGAAUCUAGCAAGUCAAAGGCUUUGAGAUGUUUAGGUUCUAGAAUAAUAUUUAUCGUAAAACAUGGAGAGGGUUCUGAGGAGAAGAUAGGACCUUCACUAGGCGUUGUAUAAGGUUCCAGCCGCACGGUCUCUAUUGUAGCUGGAUAAAUUUGUUUUCCGACAUGCUAUCUUCUUUGAUCAUCAUACUCCUCAUUUUAUGGUUGCGUCACUUCUUUAGACAAUAUUGAAUAUUAUGCUUAGGUUCUCCACAAUAUAAGCACAAUCCUUCUUGACAACAACAAGUCUUUUCUUCCUCAGUAAGAGGUUCGAAACAUACUGCAUUAAUUUGCAUAUCCUCUAAUUCUGAAUGUAUGUAUUGAAGAAGUGUUGGUGUUGCUAUUGAAUUAUAAUAACGUUGAGGUCCACUUGUACGGUUCUCAGAUUGAAAUUCAAAAAGGUGAUUGUUGCAUUUCACAGCAAAAUCAAUUGCUUGACUCAAUAUUUGAGGAUCACUUAAGUUGAGCAUUAAUUUUUUAGCUCAUAUUAUAAUCUGUAGAAAAAUUGGCUAAUAAGUACAACAUCAUUCCACUUGAUAUCAAUUAUAAAUUGUCAAAAUUGUGAAGUAUACAACAUUAGUGAUCGAUUGCCUUGACUUAAAAUAUGGAUCUUAUUGGUUGCAACAUGAAUUACAUCAUGUUCUCUAUACAUGGAUUGAAACUCAGCCAAAAAAAUCUCUAGAUUAUCCAAUAUUAAAUCUCGUCGUUCAAGAAAAGAUGAAAACCAUCAUAAUGCUGAACCUGAAAGAAGUGUAUCAAUCAAUCUAACUUGCGAUCUUGGAAUUGGAUAGCUUUGGGAUUGAAGUUCAAUCAGAAGUUGUACCUGAUUGAUAAAUCCUCUAAAUUUUGAUCAGGUGCCAUUAAACUCUCCGGAUAGGACACUUCUCGGUUUUCUAACAUUGGAAGGAUGUUCCACCAUAAGAAAAGAGACAUGAUUUGGUGUAGAUGUUGAAGGAGCUCUAAUCAUUUAUAUAUCUUUACUUCCUGCCAAUCUUGUUGUUCCUUAUGGUGGUUAAUUGAAUUGAUGCAUUUUAAGCAUUAACUCCCUCAAUUGUUCUUGCAUUUGUGCCAUUGCACUCUUCAUUUCAGCAAGUUUUGUCCUCAUAACACUUAGAAAAGAGAAGAUGUCUAAUAUCACUCAAGACAAAUAGAAGAGAGGACUUGAGAACAAAAAAAAUACUAAGGAUAAUAUCAGUUUAAAAAGAGGAUAAUCCGCAACUUCUAAUAUGAUUAUGUCUUAUCAAAAAAAAGAGGUAAUCCACUCUUAAUCAAGAUUAGAGAAAGCUUUGAUAUUGUAAGUGUACUUUUGUCAAACUGUCAAGGACAAGAACAUGAUAAAGACAAAUAAAUAAGUAAGACUUCUCUCAAAGAAAGAUGAAAAAAUAGAAAUAACUUCAUAUGUAUAUUAAGAAAGAAACUAGAAUGGCUAUUGCCAAAAGCCAAAAAAAUUAGAGACCCUUGAAGCUAGAUUGGAAGCAAGAAAAGAAUUGACAAGAAUGAAGAAGGCUUCACUCUUGUCUCUAUAUAUACUAUCUUACUAGGGGCUAUGUGGCGAUGUUCUAUAGGACCUCCAAUAUGUGUUGAUUUUGUAGGACACAUGCCUUGAUUUACAAGGCAAGUUUUUUUACAUGUGGAUUACAUAGUUAGCUUGGACUUCAAGCUAACAACAUAUGUGGCACAUGGCCAACUUGUUGACCACGUUUCUAAUCUCAAAAAGUCAAUUAAAGAUACCUAUAAAGUCAAAGCAGCGUCUAUGAAUCUUCUAAGAAGCUUCUAUAUUAAAUACUAUAGAAUUAACUUAUUUUUACCUAAUUUUACUUACUUCUACUUAUUUAUACAUGUAAUUAUUGGCUUGUAUGUCCGUGACAAGCUCUUAAUAAUAUUUAAAUUAGUUUUAUUUUUAAUAUUUUUUAAUUAAUUUAGAAAUUAUUUUAAAUAAAUAUAUUUUUAUUUUAUUAAAUUAGUUAAAGAUUUAAGAUUUAUUAAUUAUUUUUAUUAUAAUCUUAACCUUAUGUAGUUUUUUAUAUCUAAAGUAGUAAAAUUAAAGCAAAAAUUAACAUUUAAGGUAGUCAAAGUUGUGAAGUUCUCCAAAUUAUUUGAGAAUGAUAUCAAAUCCUUACACCUUUUAUUAUUUGAGGUAGUUAAAACUGCAAAGUUGCUCAAUUUGUUUACCAAUGAUGUCAAUCCUUGAUAAUUCAUAAAUUCAAAGAGAUAAGAUUGUCCAAUUUAGUUUGCAUUCUUAUUAUUUUUUUACACCUCAUAAUAUUUAAGAUAAUUAAAGAUAAAAAAUUACCUUAAAUAUUUAUCAAUAAUGUUAAAUCAAAAUACUUUUCAAUAUUUAAGGUAGUCAAAGAUGUGAGGUUACCUAAUUCAUUUGGCAAUGAUAUCAAUCUCUAAUAUCUCACAAUAUUAAAUUAGCAUCAAGGAUAAGAAUCCAAUCAAUGAAAAUAAUUAACUAAGAAUUUUUUCAAAGAAGUAUGAUAAAAUAGAAGUAAAAAAAUAUGUAUAUUAAAAAAAUUAGAAUGGCUAUUAUCAAAAGAUUAAAGACUCUUGAAUCUAAAAGAGAGCAAGAAAUGAAUUGACAAAGAUGAAGAAGGCUUCACUCUUACUUUUAAAUAUACUAUCUACUUUAAAGCUACAUGGCAACAUUCUAUAGGACCUUCAACAUGUAUUGACUUUACAAGCCAUAUGUUUUAACUUAUAAGGUAAUUUUUUUAUAUCUACAUGACAUAGUUAACUUGUUUCUUAAGCUAUCUACACACAUGAUGUAUGGCUAACUUGUUGAGCAAGUUUUUAAUCUAAAAGUCAAUUGUAAACACGUAUGAAGUCAAAAUCGUGACUAUGAAGCUUUUAGAAAGCUCAUCUAGAAGAUAUUAUAAAAUUAAUCUAUUUUUUAUUUAUUUUUAUCUACUUCUAUCUAAUCCUAUAAGUAAUUACUAGAAUAAGUAUGCAUAUCCAUGAUAAUACCUUCCAUUCUAGAAACAAGUUCCAUUAGGUGUAGUCAUCAUAUGUAUAAAAAUCUAAGAUGCGAUAAAUUAUGUUUGCCACAUAUUCUAAUCUUUAUUUUCUUCCAAGAUGGUUGAUAGGUCCUUUCAAUCAUUGAUAAUGUCUUAUAUCAGAGUAAAAAGACUACCUUACUAUUUGAUUGUUAUUGAGGCUUUUAUAACUUCUUUCAAAUAAAACAUUUGAAAGCUUAUCAAGAAUUGUUCUUAUUUCUAAUAAAGUCAUCAAAUAUUAGAAGUAUCUUCUAUAGUUGUGAUAUUAAACAUAUUGUAGCUUGUAAUCUAUUUGAAGAAGAACAUGUUGUUCUUGACAAUCUUCAUCUCAAUUAUAUUACCUUGAAGGUUGAGACAAUUACAAUAUCUCAUUCAACAAAUCAGUAAACAACAGUUCUUGAGUUGAAUCUGCUUGUUACUGAUUCUCCAUUUCUUUAGGGCCACAGGAAAGCAAAAAUUAUAAAUAAGGAUAAAAGAUAUAAUAUUAUCCUCUCUUCAUCUUAUUUUUUUUAUACAACAAAAGUUUGUUAUUCUUUAUCUAAGUUUUGAUAGAUAUCUUUGAUGAAAAGCCUCCACCUUCUUUAUUGUAUUUAUAAGAUUCUUUGUUGGCUCCUAUAAGCAUUCCUUAAUAGCAUAUCUAUACUAAUGAAUUAGUUAUUUCAACCUAUUUUGAUGUUGCUUGAAUCUAAGACUUCUUUUACUUCAAAUUCUUCAUUAUUAUCUAUUUUUAUAGAAAGUAGUGGCAUCUAUUUUUUUCUUAUUUUAUUCAUUAUUUUGUAUGGUUCAAAAAGAGAUAUAUAGAAUAUAAAAUGGAUCGUCAUUGACUCUAAUAGGUAUGAUUAAUAAACAACUAGAUUGAUUUAUUUAUAAAUAGAAAAAAAUCUAAGCUUACAAUAGUCUAACUUGUUACAAAGAUGAGUAGUCUUGAUAUUACAACAAAAUAACCAUAUUUUAUCAUUCACCUUGAAUUAUGGUUAUUCCUAAGAAUAGGCAUAUGUAUUUAUCUAUUUUUAUUUUUGAGCUUUUUUUAAUUGAAUUUUUAUUAAUACAUGUAGCUUUAACAAAUAAUUUGUCAAAUCUAUUGCCACAAGAUUAUUAAUUUUUGAAAAAUCAAAAACAUCAAGUUAUAGAUGAUAACCAUAAUAAGUAAAAAAAAUAUUUGAUGAGUAAAAGAGUGUACAAUAUUAUUAUAAACAAACUCUGCUAAUGGCAAAAGAAUUCUUGAAUCAUCUUAUUAAUAGUUAAUGAUACACCUCAAAUAUGUGAUCAAUACGCUUUAUUUGUCCAUCAAUUUGAGAAUGAAAGGCCAAAGAUAAUUUUAUAUCUAUCUUUAGAAUCUUAAAAAAAAUAAAAUAAAAAUAAUACAUAUUAAGUCCUCUUAUCUUUAGUAAUAUCCUUGCAUAAUCCAUAAUAGCAAAAGAUGUUUGCAUGAAAAAGCUUAGCUAUUUUUUCACUUGUGAUAGAUUUUAUACAUAGUACAAAAUGUACCAUCUUAGUAAGACAAUCUAUUAUUAUGAAUAUAGAAUCAUAUAAAUUUGAAAUUGAAAGAUCUGUGAUAAAAAUCUGUAGAAUUAAAAAAACCAUCAUUGUUUGGGUAUGGGCAAUGAUUGGAGAAGUCCAUAGAAUUAGUGGCAAUGAAUUUUUGAUUUUAAAUAAAUAUCACACAAGUAGAAAAAGUCUUUCAUUGCUUUCCACAUUUGCAACGACUAAAAAUGCUUAAAUAUAAGCUCCAAAAUCUUGUUAUAUCCAAAAUGUUUAAUUGCCAAAAAGUCAUGAUGUUCUUGAAAAAUAAGUUAAUAUGUUUUUUUUUAUAGAAUAUAUAGGCGUCUUUUGAAAUAAAAUAGGUUGUUCUUGAAUUCAAACUUAAAAGCAUCAUGGGAUUUAGAAGAAAUAUUUUUGAUAUCAUAAACAAAAAGAUCAAAAGACAUGAUUGAAUUUAUUUAACAAAGGUUGAAUAAAAAAUCAAUGUUGAUUUUAUUUUUUAAAGAUGAAAAUGUUUUGGCUUUAAGAAAAUAAUUUUUUAUUAAAUAAAAGAUGCAUUUCUUUCUUUUGGUGCAAGAUAAGAAUAUUUAAAAAUAGUAUCUAACAAACCUUAUUAUUUUUUGAAUCAAUAAGUGAACUUGAAAUUAAAUCUUAUUAAAAACAUGUUUCAAUGAAUUUGGCGACAAUUAAAAAUAUGACUUGAUAUAAAAUAUUCAAGAUUCUUGUGAUCCAUAUAAACAAUGACUAGAUUAGAAGCGCCUUCUAACAAAUGAUGCCAUUCUUAAAAUAAAUCCACAAUUGCAAAAAAAAUUCUUUGUCAUAUAUCUUGUAAUUGAUCUUGAUUAUUAAAAAAAAAAUUAAUAAAAAUCUAUUAGAUAAAAUUUAUCAUCUAUUUCUAUUUAUAAUAAUACAACACUCAAAAUAAAGUCAAAUACUUCUAUAUUUAUAAAAAAAUGGCUUAAAAAAAUUGAUGUAAAAUAAGAUUGGUACAAAAAUAAAUCUUGACUUUAAAGCUUCAAAAUAAUACUUUUGCUUCUUAAUUCCAUUAAAAUUUGUCUUUACAAGUCAAAUAUAUAAGUAGAGCUGGGAUUUGAAAGAAGUCUUUGAUGAAGAUCCAAUAAUAAUUGGUCAAUCUUAAAAAGCAUUGGAUAUCUUUUAUCAUUUUUGAGAUCUUUUAACUCCUACUACUUUGAAUUUUUUUAGGAUCCAUCAUAAGUUUAAUAUUUGAAAUGAUGUAUCCUAAGAAAUUGACUUGAAUAGUUUGAAACAUAUACUUAUCUAUCUUGGCAUAAAAUCUCACAUCUCUUAAUUUUUGUAACAUACAACAAACAUUAAAUUCAUAUAUUUUUAUUUUCUUAAAAUAGAUUAAGACAUCAAUUAGGUAAAAAAUAAUAAAGUCAUCUAAAAACUUUCAAAAGACAUUAUUUAUUAAAUAUUGGAAAGCUAAUGGUACAUUUGUAAGUAUAAAAGGCAUGACGUUGUAUUCAAAAUAUCCAUACCUAAUUCAAAAUAUAAUCUUCUAUUCAUUUCCUUAUUUCAUGCAUACCAUAUUGUAUGCUCUUUAUAGAUCUAUUUUUGUAUAGAUCUUAGCUUGAUUUAACUGAUCAAGAAAUCUAAAUAUCAAAAGUAACAGAUACAAUUUCUUAAUGGUGAUUUUAUCAAAUCCUCAAAAAUUGAUACAUAUUUGCAAUGAUUCAUCUUUCUUCUUCACAAAUAAAAUUAAAGCUCUUAUUGGACAUUUGAAAUGACAUAUAAAUUUUUUGGCCAAAUUCUCUUUAAUGUAUUCUUUGUAUUUAGUUUAAUUUUUUUCAUUAAAAAUAUGCUAUAUCUUUAAACAAAUUCUUCAUCUAAGAAAGACAUUGAGGUUCUUAAAUCUAACAAAGUAAAAGCUUUGUGAUAUUUAGAUUUUGAAAUUAAAACAAAGAAAGGAUUUUGGAGAGAGAAUAGGACCUUCACUACAUGUUAUAUAAGAUUAUAAUUCUAUGAUUCCUAUUGUAAUAAAAUAAGCUUAUUUCUUGACAUACUCCAUAUUGUAUAAGAUUCUAAUCCUACAAUUCCUAUUAUAGUUAAAUAAACUUUUUUUUUAACAUGCAAUCUAUAUUGAUAAUCAAAUUCCUGUCACUGACAUACACAUGUAAACCAAUAAUUACAUGAUAAAUAGGUAGAAGUAAGUAAAAAUAAAUAAAUAAAAGUUAAUUUUAUAAUAUUUGUUAUAGAAGCUUCUUAAAAGCUUUAUAGAUGCUGCUUUGACUUUAUAGAUGUCUUUAAUUGACUUUUUGGAUUAGAAACGUGAUUAACAAGUUGACCAUGUGCCACACAUGUUGUUAGUUUGAAGACCAAGUUAACUAUGUAGCCCACACGUAGAAAAACUUGCCUUGUAAGUCAAGGCAUGUGCCCUACAAAGUCAACACAUAUUGAAAGUCCUAUAGAACGUCACCACGUAGCCUCUAGUUAGAUAAUAUAUAUAGAAACAAGAGUGAAGCCUUCUUCAUUCGUGUCAAUUCAUUUCUUGCUUCCAAUCUAGUUUCAAAAGUUUCUAGUUUUCUUGUCUUUUGGCAAUAGCCAUUCCAAUUUCUUUUUUAAUAUACAUGUAAAGUAAUUUCUAUUUUGUCAUCUUUCUUUGAAAGAAGUCUCACUAAUUUUUUUUUUUUUUUUUAUCAUGUUCUUGUCUUUGACAACUCUUCAUAUUGUGAUUGCAUCGCUUCAUUGAAAAAUAUGCCUUAAUAAUUCUUCCACAAAAAUUUUAAUUUCAUCUUAUCACCACAUUUAUAAAUGUAUGUCAAAUUUGCUUUGUUAUUUAAAAUUGUGAUUUUAAAUUGCAUACUCUAUAUCAUCUAUCUACUUUAAUAUCCUAAUCAAUAUCCAUAUCAACUUCAAAAUACUUGCACAAAUUCCAACAAUUUUAUAAGAUAUAUUGUAUAUUCUUUUUUAAAAGGAUUUCUAUAAUUUACAAGAAAAAUAUACAUGUUACUAUUACUUCACAUAGUUAGCUUGGUCUUCAUAGUUAACAUGUUAGCAUGUUUCUAUUUCUCCACCACCCACUCCGGUCACCUAGCUACUCCGAUCUCGACGAUCUUUAACAUGUUGAAACCGCAGUUUAGGCGGCUGCAGCAACACAAAACUUCACGGCAAUCGCACGGAUGAGCUUUGAGAACUGCUCCUCCGAAGUUACUUGAUCCAAACUGCCUAUGCAAUAACCGCUCAUCACUUGUUUCGUUGCCACAAAUUAUUGUAACUCCUACUUCGAUGAUCCUAAGCUUGUCGAGAGGCUAACAUCAAUCGGCUACUGCCUUCAAAAAUUCCACCCCAAAAUCCGCUAAUCCAACAUACUGAUCGAAAAAAUUCAACGCCCUCCAAAAAUAAACCGACCCACAACCGAUAGCGGAUUCGACCGACUUUGGGCACUUGCACCAUAUCCAAUCCAGAUUCUUGAGAAGUAGCAGCGUUCACAUGACGGGCUCAGAAGGCAGUAAGCUCAUGCAGCAACUCACGAUAUUCAACUUGUGCAAUGUACGCAUUCAAUGCUCAUCCAACGAGUGCAUGCGCAGAACCACUAGAAUCAUGUGUGUCGCAGAUUCAGAAUGACACAAAACCCACUGCUGCCGCUCCUACCUAAAUCUCAAAAAACUUUCUGAGCCAUGGCUCAAUUCGUGCUCAACACCUGCUCAAACUUCAGAUCUUCCCGUCCACUCUAAUCCUGCGCAAGCAAAAACAAACCCUAAAAUUGAAUAUUCUCAGCGGCGCCCCCCGCUCUCCACCACCACCUCUCUGCCUACUCACGAAAAAAUGUCUCCUGUCGAAUGAGAUCCCUCACGCAACCGAUGUGAAUGUCGACGCCCCAGUUGUUUCAUCGAUACCGCUCAUAGACGUCGCCCACCUCUCUCCUAAUCAUGGGUAUCCCUCCACGGACCUCGUUGUCAUCCUCAGCUGGUUCAGGGUUAGGAUUUAACUGAUCAACAUCCUGUUCAGGUGACGUUGUUGGAUAAAGGUGAACCCAGAUUUGUCCGGCGUUGCAGAGCAGCGUUCUGAUGAAUGAACAAAUGAAUGAAGGAAUGAAUGAGUGGCUAAGGGAUCGAUGAAUUAGGGUUUCAUGCUUCAUCUGUGGAGAGCAGCAUCGGAGCCCUAUAAUACCUGCCAUUGCUCCGUUGCAGAGUAUCGGGUUGCCAUGUAUCUUGGAAUCCAGGAAGUGUUGUCUUUCUGGAUCGAUGGUGUAAGAUGUGGUUACGUUGUUUCCCCGCUUCGUGGAUAGUGUCGAUGCUGCUGUAGUCUCGGCUCUGGGGGCUGCUUGGGUGGAUUUGUGCAAUGCUUGAUAGUGAGGGGGUUGGGCUCAGUGUGGCAGGAACGCAUCGUGCCUUGGCCGCCGCCGAGAGUGAGGCACGUCUGGGUGCUGAGUUGUGAUUCCAGCCCGCAUUUGGGCUUCGGGAAGAGUCGGUGAAGGGGGAGAAGUCGUUGGCGAUGGGGAUUUGCUGUGAGAUGUCUGUGCUUGUGAAGCUAGGUCCUCCGUGUGUGUUGUGGUCGUUGUUGUAGGGGCUGUGGGUGGUGGGGUCAAUGAGAUGUGUGCGGGUGGGAGGAAGGUUAAUGGGUAGGCGCUCGGUUGGAAUGUGAGGGAUGUGCCUGUGCAUGAGGAGGCUACCAUGAGUAGAUUGGUAAGUUGUUGUGGAUACAGUUGUGACUGCGAUGGAAAUGGUGAAGGGUUUGUGAGGCAGUGUGGUCUGAGGUGUGGAAGGCACCCGAGUCCAAAUCCCCGAUGAUUAAUGACAUUAGCUCUAUCCGGAAAUCCACAUGUGGACAAGAGAUAUAAAGUAUGAGGGAAAAGACUUGGGUGAUGGUUAUGUGUUUUGUAGGCUGCAUCGAAAUGAAACCUGUCCUGGUGAAAUUUGAUGAGAACCCGGAAAUCAUAAAAACGUGACCUUAAGAAAGCUCACUGCUAAAUGUAAUGUGCAACGCUCACUUUGUUACAUGAUUAUAUGAACUUUGUAUUGUCGAACAGGUAACAGAAACCUAUCAGAUUUUAACUUUGUUGCACAACAAUCUAGAAUGUAAUGUAAUAUCAAAUGAUGUCUACAUCAGAAAAUUCAUGAAACUGUGAACAUUUGAAGGGCUCUUUAAAAUUAUCACUUAAAAAUGUCUUGUAAGUAAAAUCUUUACAACUGUAUUCGACAAACUUGGUGAAGGUAGAAAGCAAGGGGCCCCAUUACUAUAUCUUGCGAACUGCGCUUGGCGGCAACAUUCGUACUGCCAUCAUCUGAGCAAUGACUCCUGAUAAGGGAUUUUUCUGAAGAUAGUUGAAAUGCUCUGCACUUGUGAAGUAGAGCGAAGGGAUCAGCAAAUUGUGCCGAAGUGAUUGAAACUUUAACCAAUGCAACACUUCGUGAACAGCGGAAAAAAGGAGAUUGAUGUGAUUCUCCCAAAAUUGCAGGGGCAAGGAUCCAAACUUGCGGAGGACUUGGACAUGGAGAGAAAGAACCCACAGAAGACAUGCUGAAGAUUGAAUAGUGCAGAGAAAAACUGGUGCUAUAGCUUCAUGAAUAGAAAAAAAGGCUUUGAACGAUAAACGAAAAGAACAGGAGAGGAAGACUGAAUCUCAACAGCAUGGUCAUCAGCUUAGCUAUCGAUGACUUCGGCCGACUUCCUCAGAAGGAAAGCAGAGGGGAGACAAGGUGUCUGCGCGAGUAACGUCAGACUUGGACAUUUAGAGAAGAAAGAAAUCGACGAAAGAGUUUGAAUCACUAACAAACUUGCAAGGAAGAACUGUUCCCGUGUCUCUUUGAAGCAGCAAUAAUCUUGAACCUCCGCCGUCGUUUGGAAGUUUGCUUAAAGCUUGAAAACAAAACCCACCGAGAGGAAUAAGGAGAUGAGUGCGUCCAGCUAGAGCCCAGGAAUGGACAGAACCACCAAGAGAAAGAAGAAGAUGAAGUUGGACCAGUUAUAGAUUAUGAGCAAGAGCAUAACUUGGAGGUGCGGGCGGUGAAGACACCAGAAGGGCAUGUUGGGAUCGAUGCUUUAAUCACUAGGAACGACGGAGUUGUGUGGCGGGAGGGUGUGUAUAUCAGAAUAGGAAAGCAAGGAAAAUUGUCUCAAUCGUCUUCAGGACAAAGUCUCAUCAGUGAUGGCCACUGUGAAGAAAUGUCUGUUUAAAAUUCUGUUGCAUGAAUGCUACAACAUGCCCAGGUUGAAGUUCAAGCUAGCCAGGUUCCAGUUCGUUGUCCGCAGUCAGAUUGUUCAGAGGAACUCGAAUAUUCUCACGAAUGCAAACACAAUCCUACAAUGGAGGUAUUUGUCAUGCGCACAAAGCAGCUUACAAAAGCAAGUGUUCCCGAAGGAGAUGAAGCAUACUGCUUGUACGCAAAAUAUGCUCUACUUUUGAUGGAUUAGAAAAGCUUGGAUCCUACACGACAGAGCAUGUCGGCUUCACUCAACAAAUCGUCAAUGUAUCAGAACAUAGCAUGCGUUGAAUGCAGACGAAGCUUUUUUGGAGUUCCUCGGCAUUGGAACCGAACUUGUCAGGAAUAUCAAAACCUCUCUCCUGAUUGUGGUGAUGGCUAAAAGACAAAUCUUUACAAAUUGAUGCCGAGGGUUGUUACCACGUGAGGUGCUUGUGUGAAUAUGAGUUUUGUUGUACAUGUGGCAUAGAAUGGAAAAAUAAAGAAAGAACAUUGUCAAUACAAGCUUUUGAAUGUUAUUUGCAUAUGUUGGGGGUGUUAGACAAUAGGUGGGAUGGCAUUGGUGAGCCGAUUGAUAAUACAAUAGAAGGUUUGGAGACAUUUACAUGCAAGAAGGCUUUACUGGGUUUACUUCUUAGUUAAAUUUGGAUGGAAAAUUGUUGUUAAUGGUCAUGAAAUGAAGCCUUAAAGUAGUGGAAUUUAUAAAAAAAUUAAAGCUUUAAAGCAAUAUUUUAAAGACAUAUUUAUUUAUUUAUUUAUUUCAGAUAUUAUCUAUGUUUGACACACACACAUAUAUAUAUAUAUAUAUAUGCUAAUAAAAAUAAAGACAUCAAUAGAACUUGAAUCAAGACUAGAUUAGAUUGAAUACAUUAAUAAAACUAAAGAUGAUCUUAGUUUUGCAUAUUAAAUAUACUAACUAAAAAAAAGUCAUGCAAAAGCUACUCAAGGACUACAGUGAUGUUUUAGAUCUACAUAUAUUUGAAGUAUGGUAGUAUUUAAAAUCUAAAAAAAAUCUAGCUAUUUAACUCAUCGAAAAACACUUGUUGACUCUGAUUGCAACCAAGAAACUUUUACAAUGUCUUAUGAGACAAUAUUGUUUACUUAACAUGUUUCUAACUAUUUCUACUCAUUUCUAAUUAUUUUAGUUCAUUCAAAAUUCAAUAAUAUUAUAGUCUUUUUUUUUUUUGUGAAAAAAUAUUAGUUACUAAUUUCAUGUAUUUAAGUUUUUUAAUUAGAGUUUUUAUAACUAUUUUUAUAAGUAUUUCAAAACAUGUUUAAGAUUUCUGUCUAAAUAACAUUAAAUUCUGUUUCUUAAAAAUAAUUAAUCUUAAAAUGUGAGUUAUUUGGGAUAUUUAAACUUAUUCAAUUAUUUUUGAUAUAUAAAUCAGUACUUAUUUUACAUUUAAAAAGGUUUACAAAAUUAAAGAAGAUGAAAAUAUUUAAAUAUUAUUAUUAUUAUUAUUAUUAUUAUUGAAUAAAUAAUUUUAUUUUUUUGAAUAUAUACAUAUAUAUAUAUAUAUAUAUAUAUACAUAUGUCAUACAACCUUCAAAUUCAUGUUUAUUUUCAAAAGUAAUUAGCUUCCUUGAAAAUAAAAUAUUACAAGAUAAGAUAUUAAUUCAAAGAUAGAUAAUUUUGAAUCUUUAAUAUGUAAUAAUAUCUUAUAAAAAAAAAGUAUAAUCUAUUUAAUAGUCAAAAGAUACAAAACAAUUAGUAAAAAGGUAGUCUUGCUAAACUAUAAAAAGACAAAAGUACAAUGCAAUUAGAGAUAAAGAAACACAAGAAAAAAAAUAUAUUAGAUUAGACAUAUGAUUAGAUUAAAUUUAGAAAUAAAUAUAUAUUUAGAUUAUUUUAAAACUAAUAUUCAUGAAAGUGAGCUACUCUUUCUCUUGCCUUUGUUGUUAAACUAUGAUAAAAUGUCCUACAGAAGUUUCUACAAAACGUUCUAAAAAUCACAAAAUAUUUUAAAAACUUAAGAAUCUUUAAAUAUAAACUUAUAAAAGACCAUGAAAGUUUUAUAGAGAUUUUGUAACAAACUAAGGAAUCAUAUGGAAGGUUGUAGAGGAUUGUAAAAACUUCUAAAGAUCUAUAAAUAUUUGUUCAAAUAUCCAAAGUAAAUUAAAAGUUGUAGACAAUUCUUGAGAUUAUGACUUAUUUAUUUGUCUUUGAUACUUGUAAUUCUCUGUCUACAUUUAAAUUUCUGUUUCUAACUUUUAUAAUUCCCUAUAACAAUUUGGCUUAAACUUCUUUAAGUAUAUAAUUAUUAAAUAAUAUUUAAAAAUAAAAAUAUUAUAUAUACAAUAUUUUUGGCAUAUGCAGUCAUAAACUAUAGAUUUUAAAAAUAUCACAUUUAGACAAUAAGAUUUUUUAAAAAAUUGGAUUAAAUUAAAAAAUUUAAAAACUCUAAACUGAAAUUGUUAAAGACUUUAAAAAUGUACAAAAAAUCUUUGAAAUUAAAUAGUAAAAAGCAACUAUAUAUUGUAUGAUGUACAAUAAGAAUAGUUUUUACAACAAACAAUCUAUUAUUAAAUUCAAGAAUAUCAAUUUAUACUAUUAAUAAGCAAAACAUCAAAUCAAAUCAAAUAAUGUAAAUUAUAAGUCCAAUACAAAAUAUUUUUAAUAUACUUGAAGUUUGAAUUAGAUUAUAAUUUCUUUAAUAUUUCCAAUUACAUAAUUAUGUAAUAAAAACCAAUAUAUUUUAACCACCUAAAUUUGGUUAUACUAUUAUUAAAAUACUUAACAUAUUUUAUACCUAAUUUUAUUAUGGUUUAUAAUUUGAUUAAUACCAAUUCUAAGAGAAUCUACAUAGUAGCAACACUUACAAUAUAUGCAAACAAUGGCAAGCUUCAGGCAUUUUUUUUAAAAAAUUUUAAAUUUUUUAUUUUACACCGUUUUAUAAUUGGUGACAAUAGAAUCUUACUACAUAAAAUAUUGCACUAAAUGUUUAAAACUGUUUCCUAGUAAAGACAAUUAUUUCAACUUAUUACAAUCAGAAGUAAUCAUAUUAAUGUCAAACACCAACAAAUAGGGUUUCAUGCCAAUUAUAUUUGUUUUGGAUAAGACCAAUACUAUUAGAAUUUUGCUGUUCUAAUGACUGGGAUAUUACAUCAUUAGUUAUGAAACAUACAACCAACCUCAUCAUACAAGAAACUAUCUCUCAGUUCUGUGUUCUUGAGUCUUGCAAUAUCAUUUGCUUCUUACAUUUUCCAUUAAAAAAUUCUUAGACAUUUAAGUGCAAUUUAUGGUAUUUUGGAACACAGAAUAUUGUCUAAUAUAUAUUUCAAAAGUAUAAAUAUAUAUAUUCUGUUUGGUUCACUCGUUUAGAUUGCAUAAGAGUUUCUUUUUUGGGAUUAUAGGAUAUUUUCCUUGGAAUGUAAUUUUGUAUAACUUUUGGUAAAUAAAUACUUGAUAUUAUAUGGAUUGUUAAGUCACACAAUCAAUCACACAAUAUUGUUCAAUAAGUUCCUAAGCAAAUCUAUCCAGACCAUAAGCAUUUUCAUAAGUUUAGAUAUAGAAAGAAUGUAGAUGCAUUCAAUUUUUCUACUGACAUUACACUGCAUUGCCUAGUAGGACCAAUUGGUCAAAUAUAAUAAUAUUAAUAAUAAUGCAUCAAGGUCUACAUUAAUUAAAAUGACCAUAAUAUUAUCUUGGUAGUACAAAAUCAUUCCAAGACUUUUUGAGAUGAUAAUAUGUAAAGUCCUUCAAAAUGUCACCUUUUCAUGCAUUUCACUUUGUAGAUAGUUGUCAUUUAAUACAUCAUUACAUCAUAGUUUGGUAAUUAACAUACUAAGUUACAAUUUCAUACACCAAAGAAUCUCAUUAGUGUGACUAGACAUCAAGAGUAUUUCACAAUCGUUUAUGUUUUUGAGAGUAUCAAUUUUCUAUAGCUAAAAGAAUUUUUUUGCAUAUCACAAGUAGUUUUAAUUUACGAAGGAGCGAUUUCAUUUGUUUAAGCGAUUUCGUUACAUCACAAGGAAUUGAGCAUUGAUGGGAUCCAUAGUAAGAUUGAUUUGAAAAUCAAAUAUGUAUUAAAUCAUUGAUAACAUACGAUUAUUACUAGAAUCGCGCUGAUGAAAGGAAACAAAAGAGUGAAAGUUGUGAAAACUCCUAUUGUAUUUACUGUAUUUUAAAUGAUUCCUUGUACAGGGGUGCAAAUUAAACGCUAGGUCAAUUAUUACACCGAGUGAAUAGUGACAAAGUUACUAAUUCAUCAGUUCACAGCAUGAGAUGCAAAUGUCCAAAAUGUAUUUCUCUUUUGAGUUGUGUAGCUUUCUCAAGAUCACGUUUUUAUGAUUUCCGGGUUCUCAUCAAAUUUCACCAGGACAGGUUUCAUUUCGAUGCAGCCUACAAAACACAUAACCAUCACCCAAGUCUUUUCCCUCAUACUUUAUAUCUCUUGUCCACAUGUGGAUUUCCGGAUAGAGCUAAUGUCAUUAAUCAUCGGGGAUUUGGACUCGGGUGCCUUCCACACCUCAGACCACACUGCCUCACAAACCCUUCACCAUUUCCAUCGCAGUCACAACUGUAUCCACAACAACUUACCAAUCUACUCAUGGUAGCCUCCUCAUG
rnacentral:lncRNA from 1 species